CUCCUACGGGGCGCAGCAGUAGGGAAUUUUCGUCAAUGGGCGCAAGCCUGAACGAGCGAUGCCGCGUGAGUGAAGAAGGCCUUCGGGUCGUAAAGCUCUGUUGCGGGGGAAAAAAGGCAGCAUCAGGAAAUGGGUGCUGACUGAUGGUGCCCCGCCAGAAAGUCACGGCUAACUACGUGCCAGCAGCCGCGGUAAUACGUAGGUGGCAAGCGUUGUUCGGAAUAACUGGGCGUAAAGGAUGCGUAGGCGGUUAAACAAGUUA
rnacentral:rRNA from 1 species